GUUAAUGUUUUCAUCCCUAUUUCAUUUGAAACAGAAUGAUCUGCCAUUUCCUGCCAGGAGAGGCAGAGCUUCCUUCUGCAGAUGAAGAAGGUGGUGAUGCUGCUGGAGAAACCUGGCAGGCUUCUGGUCUCUGUAUGUACAAAGAUGGAGAACAGCUGGAAAUCAAAGGAGAAGGAGAAUCCUCUUCCUAUCCUCUUGCUCUUCUGAGUGCCAACACUUUUCCAUGACAGCAAGGUCAAGAGUCCUCCAGCCUCUUUCACAGGGACAUGAAUCACACUUACAAGGACCACCCAGAGUCUGCCUCUACCACUGUCGCUGUGAAUAUCAGCCUUCCCACAAAUGGAUCUGGGAAAGAAACAAGCAUUUGGAUCACAGCGCCUGCUAAUAAUGUUCAUUAGGUUCCAUGUACCAGUAUCUUAAGUGAGGCAUUUUCAAUACUUUCCACAAAUACCAGAAUGGGUGACUGACGUUUUUACUCUGAUUUCCUCAAAAAUAAUUGCAUAUGGUUAUGGGUAGACAGUGCCGCUGGGUGUAUUUUUGUGUGUGUG